AUAAGUAAUAGAGGUCGCAACCAACAAGAGUACCGAACAUUGUUCGCGAAAGGGGCGGUUGCCGAAGCUGAUGGGGUCAGAGCCAUUUCGCUGGGCCAAUAGUUAAGAGCUAUUGGACUGUCGCUGCAAAUGCAGCGGGGAGCUAUUCAACUG
rfam:Fructobacillus sp. EFB-N1 FEFB_c000013, whole genome shotgun sequence.